GAUGAACGCUGGCGGCGUGCCUAACACAUGCAAGUCGAACGGAGUCGUUUUGGAAAUCUCUUCGGAGAUGGAAUUCUCGACUUAGUGGCGGACGGGUGAGUAACGCGUGAGCAAUCUACCUUUAAGAGGGGGAUAACAGUCGGAAACGGCUGCUAAUACCGCAUAAAGCAAUGAAUUCGCAUGUUCUCAUUGCCAAAGGAGCAAUCCGCUUUUAGAUGAGCUCGCGUCUGAUUAGCUAGUUGGCGGGGUAACGGCCCACCAAGGCAACGAUCAGUAGCCGGACUGAGAGGUUGAACGGCCACAUUGGGACUGAGACACGGCACAGACUCCUACGGGAGGCAGCAGUGGGGAAUAUUGCGCAAUGGGGGAAACCCUGACGCAGCAACGCCGCGUGAUUGAAGAAGGCCUUCGGGUUGUAAAGAUCUUUAAUCAGGGACGAAACAAAUGACGGUACCUGAAGAAUAAGCUCCGGCUAACUACGUGCCAGCCGCCGCCGUAA
rnacentral:rRNA from 1 species